AGUCAUGUCAAUUUAUGCCCCUUCCUGGUCAAAUUCUUAGUAUUCAUUGGUGAUUACCAUUUGAGUCAAUUAUAACUUUGACAGCUACAAAAUGAUGAUUGUCUAACUCCAUUCUUCUAGAUUUCUUAGUUUGUAUUCUCUGAGAACAGCCUUACCUUCUCCCCAUUUCCUAGCUUAUUGUUUUAUUUGGUUAUAUUACCAUAAACCUGCAGAUUCUUUCUUACCCAGUGGUGAUCCUGUGCUCUUUCCUGUGGCACAACCUCUACAGCCUCUGGAUGUCUCUCAGGAUCCCUACAAAGGAGAUCUCUUUGUAACUCUACUUGGCUUAUGGAAAAAUGGGCCACAGAGUUCCAUACCCCAUGGCGCCUUUAGGCUGGGUAUCAGAAUUCCCAGACCUGGAACCCACCUCCUCUGUCCUGUCCAUCCUUUUGAGGUGAGUGGGUCUGAGAACCCACUGGGUCUGCCACGGGGCAGCAUGGAGCCAGGGUUCUUGUUGAUGUUUGCAGGGUGAAGGUUUAAACUUGGUGAGCAUUAUGAGCAUGGUGCUGGAGAAGGACCACCUGUAGAAUUUACCAAAGCUGCUUAUCCAAAACUUACUGUCCUCUGUCACUUUCCUCCUGAUAGCAGCUAGCAGGGAUUUGAAAGGAAUGCUUUUCACUAGGUCUGGUUCUGGGCAGGAGGGAGGGUGCUGGGGAUUGACCCAGAGCCUUGCACUUGAUAGCACACUGGGAGUUGUCUGCUUACUUAGGGCAGUACUGGACAGUGAUCUUCCAGGGUGAAUGGGGUGGGGAUAGGGGCGAGUUUCUAACAGGUGUUUCAGUGCUUGGCAGCUGUGCUGGUCACUGUCUGCAGAGCUGGACCUUCCAGUCUGGAGAGCCUCCCGUGAGGUUUCCUGCUUCAACAGGGAGACAUUCUGGUCUGCCCCUCUGGAGCCUAAAUCUUUUACUGGCAAUUUCUCAGUGUCUUUGCUUACAUUCUCUCCUUCUGCCGUCAUCUGAAGUAGUUGGUUGGGGGAGAAAGGGCAGGUGGGAGGAGGAACUCACCACUCAGGGUCUUCCCAGCCCGGCAUUGGGCUGAGUGGACACAUGUGGGGUGAAUCAUCCUCCUGAGAGCAUCCUAACCCUUCUCCCUAGUAUUUACCUUUGACAUUUCCUCCCUACACAGGAAGCUCUUUGAGAGGAAGGACCCAGAUUCUACCAGAGGUUUCUGUACUGUGCACUACUGAGAAAAGCACUGUGUUUUCAGCACUGGAUUGCACUCAGAUGUCAACUCCAGCUUCUUUACUGGGACCCAGGGAAGCACCUACUCUGCAGGGUGCCAAUACCAAUAGGGUGCUGUACAUGUUUUACUCUGCAGGGUGCUAGUCCUCCAUUGUUUUAGACUAAGCUCCUGAACUGAACCCCAGUAGACCAGACUGAAAAUAACAGUGGAGUCAUCCACAGCUGAGUUCCAGAGCACCAAACCAUAGCCAAGAUAGCUGAUCCUCAUGGUGUAUGGGCCAGGCUGUUUGUGCAACGACCAAGCAGGCUCCAUUGUACCCUGAGGCUCCAUAUCAUGUAAGAAAUGCUUCUCCCGUGGGAAAGCCCCGCCUCUGAGCCCAUUAAUAUUUACCCAGCAUGGCAUACUUGGCAGCACAGAAUGGCGAUUCUUACACAAUGUAAAAUCGUUCUCUCUUUGGUUUCCAUUUUUCUUGGGCAAUGUGCCCUGGCAGAGAUUGAUUGUCUAGACAUUAGUAACCAUUCUCUAACUUGUGCUCAACUAGGGUCAUUUUGACCCACUUCCCUUCUGCUUGCUUGCUGCUAUGCCAACCGGGAAAGUCCCUCGGGACAUACCAAUGUACCCAUUGCAUUGUCUCACUGACCGCUCAGCUUCUGUACCCCUGCUUGCUUGCAGCUGCAUCAACCCUGUUGUGGCUUUUGUCUUUAAAUACCCAAAACCUUGAAGCUCAAGGCUGUUUUCUGUAGAGACAACUUGGUCCUGUAGGAAGCAGUCCCGGCCGGUCAGAAUAAAGACUCUUCAAUUUGGACAAAACUGGGACUUGGUGUG
rnacentral:lncRNA from 1 species